AAAAAGAUAAACCCUAGUUUCCGUGCCCAACGUUUGACCGUCCGUCUUAUUCCAAAAAAAUAUGAAAAAAAUUAAAAAUACAAGUCACGCAUAAAAUAUUAAUCAUGUUUUAUCAUCUAACAACAAUAAAAAUACGAAUUAUAAAAAAAUUCAUAUAAGACGGACAGUCAAAGUUAGACACGGAAACCCAGGGUUUGCCUUUCU
rnacentral:pre_miRNA from 1 species